UGCAAGUCGAGCGGGCACUGGGGGCAACUCUGGUGUUUAGCGGCGGACGGGUGAGUAACAUAUAGAUAACCUACCUUCGAGAGGGGGAUAGCAAGUUGAAAAGCUUGGCAAUACCGCAUGAAGUUCAUGGAGCGCAUGCUGAAUGAAUGAAAGCAGGGGACUUGAGAGAUCAGGCCUUGCGCUCGAGGAGGGGUCUAUAUCCUAUUAGCUAGUUGGUAAGGUAAAGGCCUACCAAGACGAUGAUGGGUAGCCGGCCUGAGAGGGUGAUCGGCCACACGGGCACUGAGACACGGGCCCGACUCCUACGGGAGGCAGCAGUAGGGAAUUUUGGGCAAUGGGGGCAACCCUGACCCAGCGACACCGCGUGGAUGAUGAAGGCCUUCGGGUUGUAAAAUCCUAACACAUAUUAAGAAGGCUGUGUAUACGAAUAAUAUACGCAUACAGACGUCAGUACGGAAUGAAGUCAUGACUAACUCUGUGCCAGCAGCCGCGGUAAUCCAGAGAUGGCAAACGUUGUUCGGAAUCACUGGGCAUAAAGAGCACGUAGGUGGGUUUGCAAGUCAGAUGUGAAAGCCCACGACUCAAUUGUGGAAAGUCAGCUAAAACUGGUUCUCUUGAGGCCGGUAGGGGAGAGUGGAAUUCCUGGUGGAGCGGUGAAAUGUGUUGAUAUCAGGAGGAACGUCGGAGGCGUAGGCGACUCUCUGGGCUGUACCUGACGCUGAGGUGCGAAAGCUAGGGUAGCGAACGGGAUUAGAUACCCCGGUAGUCCUAGCCGUAAACGAUGGGCACUAAGUAGGGGGAGUAAUCUCUCUGCCGGAGCAAAAGUGUUAAGUGCCCCGCCUGGGGAGUAUGGUCGCAAGGCUGAAACUCAAAGGAAUUGACGGGGGCUCGCACAAGCGGUGGAGCAUGUGGUUUAAUUCGAAGCAACGCGAAGAACCUUACCUGGACUUGACAUCCUGGGAUUGGCUGCCUGAAAGGGUAGUGAACUUCCGCAAGGGAGAGACCUAGGACAGGUGUUGCAUGGCUGUCGUCAGCUCGUGCCGUGAGGUGUUGGGUUAAGUCCCAUAACGAGCGAAACCUUUGUCCUUAGUUGCCAGCGGGUAAUGCCGGGGACUCUAAGGAGACUGCGGACGUUAAGUCUGAGGAAGGUGGAGACGACGUCAAGUCAUCAUGGCCCUUAUGUCCAGGGCUACACACGUGCUACAAUGGCCGGUACAAAGGGAAGCGAGGUCGUAAGGCGGAGCAAAUCCCAAAAAGCCGGUCUCAGUUCGGAUUGAGGGCUGCAAUUCGCCCUCAUGAAGCUGGAAUCGCUAGUAAUCGUGGGUCAGCAAUACCACGGUGAAUGUGUUCCCGAGCCUUGUACACACCGCCCGUCAAGCCACCGAAGCAGGGGCGGCCUGAAGUCACUGACCCAACCUGAGAAGGGGGGAG
rnacentral:rRNA from 1 species